AAAGCUUUAAUGACUUGUUUUAAUUGGUGGGUUGCUUUAUUUAGAAGAAAAGAAAUGUAGAUAACGCACUUCCAGUAGCUCACUCAUGUAUGUUCCUUCUUUAUUAACAGUUGCUUCUUCAACUAAAAGCCUUUCCUUCUUGGCCAUUGCGCUUUUCUCACUAGCAGUCAUCACUGGCACUGCAUUAGUUGCUUACUGAUUGUAUUACGUGGAAGAUUUGCAAACCAUACCAUUUAUUGCGUGGUAAAGGACAUCUUGAGAAUUUCCUGCACUCAAAGAAUCUCUACUGGCUCAGCCUAAUGAUAUCAACAAAAGUGCUCCUCGUGUCUCAUUAACCACAAACCAACAACUGGACCUUCAAAGGGAUCCUUCUGGGAUCCUUUCUGAUAGCUGCUGUUGGACAAAUUCAUCAUUAGUUUAUAUUUGCACAUCGAUAACUAUAUAUAUAUAUCAUAAAUAUAAGAUAUAUAUAAGACUAUUGUAAAUUAAUAUUGAACAUGUUUUAUCAUUCUUAGUAUUACAGAGCAUAUAUAAUUAUGUGUGUGUCUCAUUGUCAGAGGGCAGUCUCAUUAGUUACCGAUUGUUGUUAAGGGGAUCUCCUUGCUCCUUGCUAGAAAUGUCAGUAGCUGCCUCUAAAUUGCAAAAUAUUGCAUUGCAAUUAGUUAAUACCUUUUCUAUAGAGCCAAUGUGUAAUUGCUUUUGCAAAUGCAUGAUGGAUGGAUGCUGUCUUGAAUAUACUUGUUUGUAUAGCUUUCUGUAGAAUGUUUUGACAAAUAAAUCUAUUACAAUUUCAUGUAAAA